CAUAGGGUUGAGUCCCGGUAUUUGCGCGUCGGAAUUAAAGAUGCUGUUGGGCCACCGGAGCUUCUGGCCGCUCACGGAUCUUUUGUCGGGGCAAUUCGAAGUCGUAGCUGCUUCGCUUGUUAGUAUAGUUUGAGUUCCGGUGAUUUCGUGUUGCAUAAGUGUUGCGGAGGCUGCCGUGUCAUUCCUUUUAUUUCAGAAGUAGUAGCUGAGCUUAUACGUGGCGCUGAGGCUGUUUCUUAUAUUGAGAAAAACACGCGGAACCGGGAUUU